GGUCAAGCUAUGAAGGGCACACGGUGGAUGCCUUGGCGCGAGAAGGCGAUGAAGGACGUGGCAAGCUGCGAUAAGCUUCGGGGAGCCGCUAAGCAGGCUUUGAUCCGGAGAUUUCCGAAUGGGGAAACCCAGCCGGCGUAAUGGCCGGCUAUCCUACGAUGAAUGAAUAGUCGUAGGAGGCGAACGGGGGGAAGUGAAACAUCUCAGUACCCCUAGGAGCAGAAAUCAAUCGAGAUUCCCUUAGUAGCGGUGAGCGAAAGGGGAAGAGCCCAAACCGAAGGUAGCAAUACCUCCGGGGUUGUGGGGCAGUCUCAGGGUGAAGCCCGGAGAGUCAGAAAAUCAGUGCGUAGUGGAAGGAUCCUGGAAAGGACCACCAGAGGGGGUGAUAGUCCCGUACACGAAACGCACUGGUCUCUCUGGAGACUGUUCCCGAGUACCGCGGGACACGUGGAAUCCCGUGGGAAGCUGGGAGGACCAUCUUCCAAGGCUAAAUACUCGCUCGCGACCGAUAGUGAACAAGUACCGUGAGGGAAAGGUGAAAAGCACCCCAGCGAGGGGAGUGAAAUAGUACCUGAAACCGUGUGCUUACAAGCAGUGGGAGGACGUUCCGGUCGGCUUGCCGAUCGGUGUCUGACCGCGUGCCUUUUGCAUAAUGAGUCUGCGACUUACUCUUUGCGGCAAGGUUAAGCCGAGUGAGGUGGAGCCGAAGCGAAAGCGAGUCCUAAAUGGGCGUUCAGUCGCAGGGAGUAGACCCGAAGCGGGAUGAUCUACCCAUGGCCAGGGUGAGGGCUCGGUAACACGAGCUGGAGGCCCGAACUGGUGAAGGUUGAAAACUUCUCGGAUGAGCUGUGGGUAGGGGUGAAAGGCUAAUCAAAUUCCGUGAUAGCUGGUUCUCCCCGAAAUAUAUUUAGGUAUAGCGUCGAGAGAUCACUUGCGGAGGUAGAGCACUGGAUGGGCUAGGGCCCUUACCGGGGUACCAAACCUAACCAAACUCCGAAUGCCGCAACAUGUAUCUCGGCAGUCAGACUGUGGGUGAUAAGGUCCAUAGUCGAGAGGGUAACAACCCAGACCGCCAGCUAAGGUCCCCAAAUUCGCACUAAGUGGUAAAGGAUGUGGAGGGACAUAGACAACCAGGAGGUUGGCUUAGAAGCAGCCACCCUUUAAAGAAAGCGUAACAGCUCACUGGUCAAGUCAAUCCGCGCCGAAAAUGUAACGGGGCUCAAGUGCGAUACCGAAGCUGCGGAUCCGUCGCGAGUUCGCUCGUGAUGAGAUGGUAGGGGAGCAUUCCAGUCGCCUGUGAAGGCAGAUCGACAAGAACUGCUGGAGGUCCUGGAAGAGCUUAUGCAGACACGAGUAACGAUAAAAUGGGCGAGAAACCCAUUCGCCGUAAGUCUAAGGUUUCCUGGGUUAAGGUAAUCUUCUCAGGGUUAGUCGGUUCCUAAGUCGAGGCCGAAAGGCGUAGAUAAUGGAAAGCAGGUUAAUAUUCCUGCACCAUCGGAAUGGCGUUUGAGCGAAGGGGGGACGGAGAAGGGUAGGUAGUCCGGCUACUGGAUGCCGGUUCAAGCCCGUAGGCGGGAGCGGUAGGCAAAUCCGCUGCUCCUUAACGCCGAGAGGUGAUGACGAGCGAUUCCUUCGGGUCUCGCGAAGCUAUUGAUCCCAUGCUUCCAAGAAAAGCCUCGUAGCGAGUCAUUCUGGUGACCGUACCGCAAACCGACUCAGGUAGACGGGUAGAGUAUACCAAGGCGCUUGAGAGAACCGUGGCUAAGGAACUCAGCAAAUUGACACCGUAACUUCGGGAGAAGGUGUGCCGCCGGGGGUGAAGGGACUCGCUCUUGGAGCUCCAGGCGGUUGCAGAGAGCAGGGGGUAGCGACUGUUUACCAAAAACACAGGACUCUGCGAACUCGUAAGACGAGGUAUAGGGUCUGACGCCUGCCCGGUGCCGGAAGGUUAAGGGGACUUGUCAACCGCAAGGUGAAGCAAGGAACCGAAGCCCCGGUAAACGGCGGCCGUAACUAUAACGGUCCUAAGGUAGCGAAAUUCCUUGUCGGGUAAGUUCCGACCUGCACGAAUGGCGUAACGAUUUCCCCACUGUCUCGGCCACGGACUCAGUGAAACUGCAAUCUCGGUGAAGAUACCGGGUACCCGCGGCAGGACGGAAAGACCCUGUGCACCUUUACUAUAGCUUUGCAUUGGAGUUAGGGGCAGCAUGUGUAGGAUAGGUGGGAGGCUUUGAAGUCGGGGCGCUAGCUUCGAUGGAGCCAACCUUGAAAUACCACCCUUGCUGGUCUUGGCUUCUAACCGACGCCCGUAAUCCGGGCGCGGGACAUUGCAUGGUGGGUAGUUUGACUGGGGCGGUCGCCUCCCAAAAAGUAACGGAGGCGCGCGAAGGUCCCCUCAGGCUGAGUGGAAACCAGCCGUCGAGUGCAAACGCAUAAGGGGGCUUGACUGCGAGACUUACAAGUCGAGCAGGUGCGAAAGCAGGUGUUAGUGAUCCGGUGGUCCCGUAUGGAAGGGCCAUCGCUCAACGGAUAAAAGGUACGCCGGGGAUAACAGGCUUAUCUCCCCCAAGAGUUCACAUCGACGGGGAGGUUUGGCACCUCGAUGUCGGCUCGUCACAUCCUGGGGCUGGAGCAGGUCCCAAGGGUUCGGCUGUUCGCCGAUUAAAGUGGCACGCGAGCUGGGUUCAGAACGUCGUGAGACAGUUCGGUCCCUAUCCGCCGCGGGCGGAGGAAAUUUGAGGGGAGCUCUCCUUAGUACGAGAGGACCGGGAGGGACGCACCGCUAGUGUACCGGUUGUCGCGCCAGCGGCACCGCCGGGUAGCUAUGUGCGGACGGGAUAACCGCUGAAAGCAUAUAAGCGGGAAGCCCACCCCAAGAUGAGAUUUCCCUGGGCGAAAGCCCCUGAAGGCCCGUCGAAGAUGACGACGUUGAUAGGCAGGGUGUGGAAGCGCAGCAAUGCGUGGAGCUAACCUGUACUAAUUGGCCGUGCGGCUUGACCAC
rnacentral:rRNA from 1 species